rnacentral:tRNA from 1 species
GCCCUUGUAGUAUAUCUAAUACUUUGGUCUUGUAAACCAAAAAUGGAGAUUAAUAUCCCUAGGGUA